AUAAUGGGUCAGCGACUUAUAUUCUGUAGCAAGGUUAACCGAAUAGGGGAGCCGAAGGGAAACCGAGUCUUAACUGGGCGUUAAGUUGCAGGGUAUAGACCCGAAACCCGGUGAUCUAGCCAUGGGCAGGUUGAAGGUUGGGUAACACUAACUGGAGGACCGAACCGACUAAUGUUGAAAAAUUAGCGGAUGACUUGUGGCUGGGGGUGAAAGGCCAAUCAAACCGGGAGAUAGCUGGUUCUCCCCGAAAGCUAUUUAGGUAGCGCCUCGUGAAUUCAUCUCCGG
rnacentral:rRNA from 1 species